GUGCUCGCUUCAGCAGCACAUACACUAAAAUUGGAAAGAUACAGAGAAGAUUAACAUGGCCCCAGCACAAGGAUAACACGCAAAUUCAUGAAGAGCGGUCGAUGUGU